CCUACGGGAGGCUGCAGUGAGGAAUAUUGGUCAAUGGACGAGAGUCUGAACCAGCCAAGUAGCGUGAAGGAUGACUGCCCUAUGGGUUGUAAACUUCUUUUAUAUGGGAAUAAAACGUUCCACGUGUGGGAUUUUGUAUGUACCAUAUGAAUAAGGAUCGGCUAACUCCGUGCCAGCAGCCGCGGUAAUACGGAGGAUCCGAGCGUUAUCCGGAUUUAUUGGGUUUAAAGGGAGCGUAGGUGGAUUGUUAAGUCAGUUGUGAAAGUUUGCGGCGCAACCGUAAAAUUGCAGUUGAAACUGGCAGUCUUGAGUACAGUAGAGGUGGGCGGAAUUCGUGGUGUAGCGGUGAAAUGCUUAGAUAUCACGAAGAACUCCGAUUGCGAAGGCAGUUCACUGGACUGCAACUGACACUGAGGCUCGAAAGUGUGGGUAUCAAACAGGAUUAGAUACCCGGGUAGUC
rnacentral:rRNA from 1 species